rnacentral:sRNA from 2 species
GCCUUUUUGGAGCCGAAACCUCUCGCUUAUGGGAGGUGCGGGGGACGCAUUAAAGGCGAACGAUACGAUACGGCACGCGGCGACGCGGGCAGCCGGCAUCCGUUACGCUAGGGGUGAAUCUCGGUUUGAACCCGAGUAGGGACUAUCCUUUGUCCGAACCCGACAACUAACCUCGUAGGCAAUACACUAAAGGAGAA